UACGUAGGGUGCAAGCGUUAAUCGGAAUUACUGGGCGUAAAGCGUGCGCAGGCGGUUCUAUAAGACAGAUGUGAAAUCCCCGGGCUCAACCUGGGACUGCAUUUGUGACUGUAGAGCUGGAGUACGGCAGAGGGGGAUGGAAUUCCGCGUGUAGCAGUGAAAUGCGUAGAUAUGCGGAGGAACACCGAUGGCGAAGGCAAUCCCCUGGGCCUGUACUGACGCUCAUGCACGAAAGCCGUGGGGAGCAAACAGG
rnacentral:rRNA from 1 species